rnacentral:rRNA from 1 species
GUGUUCCUACGGGAGGCAGCAGUGGGGGAUAUUGCACAAUGGGGGAAACCCUGAUGCAGCGACGCCGCGUGAGCGAUGAAGUAUUUCGGUAUGUAAAGCUCUAUCAGCAGGGAAGAAAAUGACGGUACCUGACUAAGAAGCCCCGGCUAACUACGUGCCAGCAGCCGCGGUAAUACGUAGGGGGCAAGCGUUAUCCGGAUUUACUGGGUGUAAAGGGAGCGUAGACGGCGAUGCAAGCCAGAUGUGAAAGCCCGGGGCUCAACCCCGGGACUGCAUUUGGAACUGUGUGGCUGGAGUGUCGGAGG